AGGAUGCGACAACAUGACCAUGAUCUUGGUACAAUUCAAGAAACCUUUCAAGAUCUCCACAUCCAACGAGGAGCAACCACUGGCCUCUAAUCAAAAUUCUGUAUGUAACGGAAGCACAGCAACAUCUAACGAUAUGCCAUAGCAGGAUCUCACUAUAAUGAUAAUGCAGCUAAAAAUGGUAACACUUAUCAUCUCCUAUACAGGAAGAGUCAUGCUGUUGCUGUAAGCUUUUGAAGUUUUGAUAAAUAAAAAGGUAGCAUUUUAGAUAAUAUCAGAAGAUCUGUAUGUAUAGCUUCAGAUAGGCCAAUAAUUUACACGGGACAAAGAUGUUUUCAGUUUAGUGGAAUUGAUGAGUGUAGCGUUUUCCCUGUUGUAGAGAGAAGAACCAUUAGUUGUUCAACUUAAAUGUGGAUUUUGAUUGUUUGCUCUGCGGAAUACGCCUAUAUUCAGUAAGAUCUGUUGUUUU
rnacentral:misc_RNA from 1 species